UACGUAGGGUGCGACGUUAAUCGGAAUUACUGGGCGUAAAGCGUGCGCAGGCGGUUCUCCAAGUCCGUUGUGAAAGCCCCGGGCUCAACCUGGGAAUGGCAGUGGAAACUAGGGGACUGGAAUCUGGCAGAGGGGGGUGGAAUGCCGCGUGUAGCAGUGAAAUGCGUAGAGAUGCGGCGGAACACCGAUGGCGAAGGCAGCCCCCUGGGCUGAGAUUGACGCUCAGGCACGAAAGCGUGGGGAGCAAACAGG
rnacentral:rRNA from 1 species